UACGGCCUCAUCAUAUUGAAAUACUAGUUCUCAUACGAUCACCGAACUUAAGAAACGUCGAUCCUGGUCAGUACAUAGAUGAGUGACCGCUUGGGAAUACCAGGUAGCUGUAA